GUGCCAGCCGCCGCGGUAAUACCGGCAGCCCAAGUGAUGGCCGCUGUUAUUGGGCCUAAAGCGUCCGUAGCUGGCCGCACGAGUCCGUCUGGAAAUCCGCCCGCUCAACGGGCGGCCGUCCGGCGGUACCUGUGUGGCUUGGGACCGGAAGGCUCGAAGGGUACGUUCGGGGUAGGAGUGAAAUCCUAUAAUCCCGCACGGACCACCGAUGGCGAAAGCACUUCGAGAAAACGGAUCCGACAGUGAGGGACGAAAGCUAAGAUCGCGAACCGGAUUAGAAACCCAGUAGUCC
rnacentral:rRNA from 1 species